CUCCCGCUGGAUGUCGCUAGAGUCCUCUUUGCCGGCGGCCCAAAGCCUGUUUAUCUGCUCAACUGAGAGGACCUACACGUCCGUCGUCCUGAGUCUCGAUCUCCAGUUGGAGGCUUCAUGGGUCCUCUCGGUCAGUUAUCUGACCUGGUUGCCCACUGAUUAGCAGGGGCUCAUCAGCCAGUAGGGCCCAUACGCCAACACUGUGACCUAUUCCAGUCGAGGCAACUCGGGCCCUCCUGGUCGGGCUAUUCAAUCAUGCUGCUCCACCUGCAUCGGCCGGUAGGGCUCAUCCGUUCCAAUGCAGUGAGGUGCUCCGGUUGAGCAACGGCUCGAGCCCUCCCGUCCGGGCGCCCCAAAUCACGUAGUCCGAUACCAGCAGCCAGUAGGGCCUACCUUUCCAAAUGUAUAAGUCACUCCCGUCGGAAUACGUAGGCUCUUCCGGCCUGCCAACCAGCUGACUUUCCAAAUAUCAGCCCCCGCCAGAUCUCAAUGCUAUUGUGGGGGGGUCCCUAGUCUGGCGGCUGUCCUUUUGCUAUUGCCUUUUUGGGGGGUACUCUAGGUUCGGGCCAUUCCCGAGCUCGGAGCCCUUCCCCGGACAGCACGCCAAAUAUGAAUUAUAUACUUCAGCUAAUUAUAUGUAAGUGUGAACUCGUGAAACUACAAACCUGGUUAACAGACUCUGUGCCUGGGUCAGUAAGAAUUAUUUUUGGUUCCCCAAACCUGUGAAAUAAAUUAAUGCAGUACACAACUGCUUCAUAUUUAGUCAGAAUAGCUAUUUUGUGUAAUAGUCAAUAAAUGUACUUUUUUACAUUGUCGGUCCUGGUGACUUUCCCCACUAAAUUCAUCCCCAGCUGUUCCAGAGGCUUGUCCACCUUAAAAUUAAAAUAGCAACAUUAAUACAUUUCAAUUUUGUAAACUCAUGACUUCCCUAUCUUAAAACCCAUGCACAUCUGUGGACAAGUUUACAUACACAUAUCGGGAUGUACUUGGGCUAUUGCUUGAUGGACAGUCUGCUAAACUGGCACUGGGCACACUGCAAAACCCCAAUGUUCAGAAAUAAGCACAUGAGAAAUGCAUUCCAUAACAUCAGUUUAUAUGUCUCACAGCAAGGUUGAAAAGGAAAAGUUAUCACUUAAAGUACUUUGCUUACCAUCAACUUGGAAACUGGAGGAACAUUUUUUUUAUGAAAAAUGGAUAAACACCUUGAGUUUUGUAAUUUAGAAUUUUCUCAUAUAGGUUUGGAUCCAUUGCUUUCAUAUGCCAACAAGUCAUUCAAGUUACAACAUUUUGUGGUCAUCUCACUAAUUUAUAACUGAGCUAUUUUGAAUGAUUGAUUGACUGAUUUAUCUGGUGCACUCUGAGAUUGUAUGCCAAUUACAAUUACAACAUUAUGUUCCACACUUGCAUCUUGUAUGCAAGGCUUUCUUGUGAAAAAAAUAAAAAUAAAUAACGUUUGAAUAAGUGUUCAGAUUAAAUAUAUUCCACUGUAUCAGUAAGAAGGUAAACAGAUUAAUCAAACAGAAUAUUAGUUAAAAUGUACUGUUGCUCUAUAUGGAAACAGUAAUAGACUAUGCCCUGAGUUUGGACGUCACCACGGACAGAUUACACUAAUUUGCAAUGGAAAAAUUAAACUGCAAAAACUCGGACAUAAGACAAAACAAAGGAACAAUUGGAAGAUGAAUAAAAAAAUCAUAGAACAUUAAUUGGAGUGUGAUAAUCAUUUUACUAUGCUGCAGUGUAGCAAGACAUUUGUCCCUUUUUGCCUUCCUUACAUCCAGUUGUGUUUGGUGUAUUUGCAUGCUGCAUUGUUGCCAAAUCCUCAUAUUUCCCCCCCCCCCCAGGAAUUCCAGAGGGGAACAGAAUCAACUGCUACAACAGUCGUCAGCCAUCCAGGUCAGCUUCUUCACAAAGAAUUUUUCUCAGAAUACAACUUUGGUAAGUAAAAUAUUUGUAUUUAUUGGCUUAACAUGUAAAAUUGCAUUUUUUGUCUAAGAAGAGCAAGUAUGGUUUAAAGAGUCAUAUUUUCUAGUUGUAUGAAUGCAAAUAUUCAUUUCGCGGCACUCUAAAGCCUCAAAAUACAGGCGGUUCCACAGUAUUUUCCAUAUAAAUAUUAAAACAAAUGUUCUCCCAUGCUGUACUGAGCUGAACUUACGUGGAGAACGAUAAAAAACACAGUGUGGUAUGUAUUAUUUGAGGCUUGAGCCCAUAGCUGCGUUAGAGACCGUUCAAACAGAGCGCGAGACGGAGCUCAACGGAUCACUGAAUGAAUUUAGAACGGCGGGUAUUUUUUUUAAAAAAGGAACUGCUUUAAUCCUGACAGCGUAAAGACAUCCGUCAGAAUAUACACAGAUGAAAAAUUCGGGAAAAAACAAGAUGACUACUCGAACUGUCUCUUUUCUGCAUGUUAUAAGGGAAACGAAGAAGCACCAUAGAUGAGCACCUCCCUCAGAGUUCUUUUGCAGCACGUAACUUAAAUUACAUUUGAUAUUGCUGACAUAAGCUUGGUUCAGAUGAAGUUCUGAAGGUAACGUUUUAAACUCUUCUUUAAUUUUUUUCUGAAGUCAUUCAAGUGCCUCACCAGACCCAGUGUAAUGCUGUGUGAAUAUACGGUCAUAAGUAAAUUGCAUACGUUCAAAACUAUAGGUUUUUGAAUAACAGUAAUAAUAGCAUAGCUAUAUCUUGUAUAAAUAGCCAUACAAUAAGCAUAGACACAAAUGUGUUAAAGUUCCUUUUAUUCUGUUACAAUUCUGUGUUGUGUAAUUUAGAAGCAUCGUCUGGAUGGUAAAGUUGGGCUUUGGUAAUUAAAAAACAAACUCUGUAAAGAUUUUUUUAAUAUAUUUAUGUUUAUUAUUUUACAGUGUUUUAACAUGUUUCUGUAUUUUUCAUGUUUAUGAUAUUUUGGAAUGGCUGAAGAUCAGCGCAGAAUUCAAUAAUCUUGUGGAUGGACCACAGCAAGUCCUUUUGCAGUUUUAUCCAUCAAAAUGCUAUGCAGACAUAAUGGAAAUGACAUUCACAUUGUAGAGCUUGGACAAAGUUCACACAGGCUCUGCGCAGGAAUUCAUCAAGGACAUGACUGUUGGGAUUAUGGUUGUGGAUGUCCAAACUAAGCACCAUCAUUCUGCAGUGAUGUGGUCCAGCCAUCCGGUGAAAUUAAGGAUGUUGUGAAAGAAAUUGAAGAGGGCAUUCUGAUUCUGCACUUUGGAUGAGUUAAAUGCAGAGCACGAAUUCUGAGUAUGGGUCACUAUACUUGGCUGUAUGUCACGUCACUUUCACUUUCACUUUUCAAUGUUCAUGAUGUGUUCAUCGGCUCCACAGCAAGCUCUUUCAUAAAAAGUAGGGUUUUAUUUUUUAAGGAACUUUAGGUUCUUUUGAGCCUUUCACUACUUUUUAGAAUGCAGAUUAAAGUUGUAUCAUGUUAUGACUUGGAAUAUGCAUGUUCUCAUUUAAACAAAUGUUUCACGUCUUAUUUUCCUAUACAGUAAUGUACACAUUUCCUUCAAAUUGACAAGUGCUUUUGCUUUCCUUCUUCUGUUUCUUGUUUUAUGACCACUAAAUAGCAUUAUGAUGGGGGAGAGUUUGGAAACUUUCAAGAUCCUUCUGAUGUUAACACUUAUUUAUGGUUAUGUUGUGGUAUGAAAUGUAAAAUCUGAUGGUUUAGAUCUUUGUACUUCCAUGUGCAUUCCAUUCAUAUUUUAUUAUACAGGAGUACAGUACACUCAUUUUUUUGUAACUAAAUUUGAUUGCUUUUGCCUUAUAUAUACAUAUAAUAUCUUGGCUUCUCAUUUUGACCAAUAACUUGCAUUAUGGUGGGGGGAGUGCAUGUGAACUUGUGCAGGGUUUAACCUUCUGAUUUUCAUAUUAAGGUAUGAAAUUAAAAAUAAUCCCUGUGGUUUUGAUCUGAGGAAUUGAAAAGCAACUAUUUAUGUUUCUCAAUCCCAUGCCAAUGUUAUUUAUUAUACAUCACACUCAGGUGUCGAUUCAGAUCUUUAGACGUGUGUGUGUGUGUGUGUGUGUGUGUGUGUGUGUGUGUGUGUGUGUGUGUGUGUAUUUGUAUUUUGCAUUUUUUUUUUUCAAUUGUCAGUUGAUGUGUUGACAGCAAAUUGCUUGUUCAAUUUAAAUGUGA